UACGAAGGGGGGCUAGCGUUGCUCGGAAUGACUGGGCGUAAAGGGCGCGUAGGCGGCUCAUACAGUCAGGCGUGAAAUUCCUGGGCUCAACCUGGGGACUGCGCUUGAGACGUGUGGGCUUGAGUGGGGAAGAGGGUCGUGGAAUUCCCAGUGUAGAGGUGAAAUUCGUAGAUAUUGGGAAGAACACCGGUGGCGAAGGCGGCGGACCUGGUCCUUGACUGACGCUGAGGCGCGAAAGCGUGGGUAGCAAACAGG
rnacentral:rRNA from 1 species